CCUUGAUCCACUUGGCUACAUCCGCCCU
rnacentral:tRNA from 1 species